UACAGGGGGGGCAAGCGUUGUUCGGAAUUACUGGGCGUAAAGGGCCAGUAGGCGUCCAACUAAGUCCGACGUGAAAUCCCAAGGCUUAACCUUGGAACUGCGUCGGAUACUGGAUGGCUUGAAUUCGGGAGAGGGAUGCAGAAUUCCAGGUGUAGCGGUGAAAUGCGUAGAUAUCUGGAGGAAUACCGGUGGCGAAGGCGGCAUCCUGGACCGGCAUUGACGCUGAGGAGCGAAAGCCAGGGGAGCAAACGGG
rnacentral:rRNA from 1 species